rnacentral:rRNA from 1 species
UAUACAAGGUGCUGCAUGGUUGUCGUCAGCUCGUGCCGUGAGGUGUCGGGUUAAGUCCCAUAACGAGCGCAACCCCUACCUUUACGUUGCCAUCAGGUUAAGCUGGGGACUCUAAAGGAACUGCCUACGCAAGUAGUGAGGAAGGCGGGGAUGACGUCAAAUCAGCACGGCCCUUACGUCCAGGGCUACACACGUGCUACAAUGGCCGAUACAGAGGGCAGCUACCUGGUGACAGGAUGCAAAUCUCCAAAGUCGGUCUCAGUUCGGAUCGGAGUCUGCAACCCGACUCCGUGAAGUUGGAUUCGCUAGUAAUCGCGCAUCAGCCAUGGCGCGGUGAAUACGUUCCCGGGCCUU